AGUCACUCCGCACCAGCCUUUCUCUGAUAUUCCUACCUCUGCGAUAUGUCACACUCGGCUGCUCCAAUCACCUUCUACCUCACCUCUCCAUACUCACGUCCCGCUCAUCCCAAUCUCCCAUCAGUCCUCCACCGCUCCAGUGACUCCGCACCAGCCUUUCUCUGAUAUUCCUACCUCUGCGAUAUGUCACACUCGGCUGCUCC